GAUCACUAAUGUUUCACGUGAAUUGAUGAUUUGACAAUGUCUUGAGCAUUGUUAUUUUAUAAAUGGACAUCAAAGAUUCACUACUUAAUUUUUCAUCAAAUUGGUCAUAAAUAAAAAAUAAAAAAAUAAAAAAUAUGCUACUUUCCCCCUCGGUUUUCAGUAAAACCGAGGUAAUAGGUCAUAAAAAAUUUAAAAAUUUUAAAGG
rnacentral:lncRNA from 1 species